rnacentral:lncRNA from 1 species
UGGUGUAGUAACACUAGAGUGAGAGUAUAAGUGGUUGUUAGAGAAUAACUAGCACUGAGUGUGAUCAAUACGAGAAGUCACAUGGAUGUCUGCUCACUCAUUAGUGACUUUCUCGAUGCUGUAGUUGUAUGACUGAUCUUUUGACCUGCGGUGCCACAACUACUUUCAGUGAGGCUGCUGGAGUUUGACUGACACAUAAACAUGGAUCUCAAUGAGUCAUUAUAGUAGAUGUUGGUGACAGUUGGU